rnacentral:rRNA from 1 species
AUAGAUAUUACGAAGAACAUCAGUGGCGAAGGCGGCCUGCUGGUCUACAACUGACGCUGAGGCACGAAAGCGUGGGGAUCAAACAGGAUUAGAUACCCUGGUAGUCCACGCCGUAAACGAUCAUUACUCGAUAUUAGCGAUAUACAGUUAGUGUCUAAGCGAAAGUGAUAAGUAAUGCACCUGGGGAGUACGAUCGCAAGGUUGAAACUCAAAGGAAUUGACGGGGGCCCGCACAAGCGG